rnacentral:rRNA from 1 species
GACGAACCGUGCGAACGUUGUUCGGAAUCACUGGGCCUAAAGGGCGCGUAGGCGGCUUAUCAAGUCAGGGGUGAAAUCCGGCAGCUCAACUGUCGAAGUGCCUUUGAUACUGAUGAGCUAGAGGGAGAUAGGGGUAUGCGGAACUUCCGGUGGAGCGGUGAAAUGCGUUGAUAUCGUAAGGAAGACCAGUGGCGAAGGCGGGUCUCUGGACAGUUCCUGACGCUGAGGCACGAAGGUCAGGGGAGCAAACGGG